AUGCAUGUCUAUAGCCAGGAAAUGGAUUGUCUGGUGCUUUCAGCUUUUAGCUUGGAGGCAGGUGAAGCGUCAGCAGACGGACUCUGGCUGCAGCAGCCUGUGCUAAACAGGAAGGGGCUCAGCACCAGCAUGCUUUACAUCACCGAGAGCCGCCUGUCCUGGUUAGAUGGUUCGGCAUUAGGAUUUUCACUGGAAUAUCCCACCAAUAGUUUACAUGCGGUGUCCAGGGAUCCAAACGCUUAUCCUCAAGAGCAUUUGUAUGCUAUGGUGAAUGCCAAGCUUGAAGAAGAAUCAAAAGAACCUCUUUCUGAUGAAGAUGAGGAAAACAAUGAUGAUGUUGAACCCAUUUCUGAAUUUAGAUUUGUGCCCAGUGAUAAGUCAUCCUUGGAGCCGAUGUUCACAGCAAUGUGUGAGUGCCAAGCCUUGCAUCCAGACCCUGAGGAUGAAGACUCGGAUGACUAUGAUGGAGAGGAAUAUGACGUGGAGGCACACAAACAAGGACCAGGAGACAUCCCUACAUUUUAUACCUAUGAAGAAGGACUAUCCCAUUUAACAGCGGAAGGGCAAGCCACGUUUGGAGAGAUUAGAAGGGAUGCUUUCUCAGUCUGUGAGCAGCCAAUAUAAUAUGGCAGGCAUCCGAACAGAAGAUUCAGUAAGAAAUUAUGAAGAUGGCAUGGAGGUAGAAACCACACCAACUGUUGCUGGACAGUUUGAGGAUGCAGAUGUUGAUCACUGAAGAUGACUUAUCUACUAUACAAUUCUGCUCAUAACUGUAGGCAAGAACGUGAUGCCUCUUCACUCCAGAAUGGGGCUGGUGAAAGACUUUUUUCUUCUACAAAACUC